rnacentral:rRNA from 2 species
UACGUAGGUCCCGAGCGUUGUCCGGAUUUAUUGGGCGUAAAGCGAGCGCAGGUGGUUUAUUAAGUCUGGUGUAAAAGGCAGUGGCUCAACCAUUGUAUGCAUUGGAAACUGGUAGACUUGAGUGCAGGAGAGGAGAGUGGAAUUCCAUGUGUAGCGGUGAAAUGCGUAGAUAUAUGGAGGAACACCGGUGGCGACAGCGGCUCUCUGGCCUGUAACUGACACUGAGGCUCGAAAGCGUGGGGAGCAAACAGG